GAUGAACGCUAGCUACAGGCUUAACACAUGCAAGUCGAGGGGCAGCAUGGUCUUAGCUUGCUAAGGCCGAUGGCGACCGGCGCACGGGUGAGUAACACGUAUCCAACCUGCCGUCUACUCUUGGACAGCCUUCUGAAAGGAAGAUUAAUACAAGAUGGCAUCAUGAGUUCACAUGUUCACAUGAUUAAAGGUAUUCCGGUAGACGAUGGGGAUGCGUUCCAUUAGAUAGUAGGCGGGGUAACGGCCCACCUAGUCUUCGAUGGAUAGGGGUUCUGAGAGGAAGGUCCCCCCACAUUGGAACUGAGACACGGUCCAAACUCCUACGGGAGGCAGCAGUGAGGAAUAUUGGUCAAUGGGCGCAGGCCUGAACCAGCCAAGUAGCGUGAAGGAUGACUGCCCUAUGGGUUGUAAACUUCUUUUAUAAAGGAAUAAAGUCGGGUAUGUAUACCCGUUUGCAUGUACUUUAUGAAUAAGGAUCGGCUAACUCCGUGCCAG
rnacentral:rRNA from 1 species